rnacentral:rRNA from 1 species
GAGUUUGAUCCUGGCUCAGGAUGAACGCUGGCGGCGUGCUUAACACAUGCAAGUCGAACGGGGAUGCUUAUGGAAGGAGUGCUUGCACUUUGGAAAUGAGUAUCUUAGUGGCGGACGGGUGAGUAACGCGUGGGUAACCUGCCCCAUACCGGGGGAUACCACCUGGAAACAGGUGCUAAUACCGCAUAAGCGCACGGGAGCGCAUGCUCCUGUGUGAAAAACUCCGGUGGUAUGGGAUGGACCCGCGUCUGAUUAGCCAGUUGGUAGGGUAACGGCCUACCAAAGCGACGAUCAGUAGCCGGCCUGAGAGGGUGGACGGCCACAUUGGGACUGAGACACGGCCCAAACUCCUACGGGAGGCAGCAGUGGGGAAUAUUGCACAAUGGGGGAAGCCCUGAUGCAGCGACGCCGCGUGAGUGAAGAAGUAUUUCGGUAUGUAAAGCUCUAUCAGCAGGAACGAGACAAGACGGUACCUGACUAAGAAGCCCCGGCUAACUACGUGCCAGCAGCCGCGGUAAUACGUAGGGGGCAAGCGUUAUCCGGAAUCACUGGGUGUAAAGGGAGCGUAGACGGCUGAGCAAGCCUGAAGUGAAAGGCGGGGGCCCAACCCCUGGACUGCUUUGGGAACUGUACGGCUGGAGUGCAGGAGAGGUAAGUGGAAUUCCUAGUGUAGCGGUGAAAUGC